GUUUUGAUUUAAAAAUUUUUAUUUAUUUAUUUAUUUUGUAAAAAAGCAGAACUUAUAUUGGAAUUAUACAUAAAGACUCUGGGCUCAUAGUCUCGAGAUGAAAAGCCAAAAGCUAGAAUCUCAGCAUGAAAGAACAGAGAAACAGGAAAAAUGGUUUUUCUGCCUGGGAUUCAUUUCUAGGCACUCUUAUAGUUUAAAAACAAAACAACUUUUUCCAGUUAUAAACUUUCAUCUAUUUUUCAAUUUUCAUUUUGAUGAUACCCUUCCAGGUCUAGGAUUGAAUGCUUAAGAGGUUUGCAAGACACUGUUCUUAGUGAAAUAUUUUUCAGUGUUUUGAGAGGCUUCUUUGGCCAGGAGCCCAGGAUCAAGAUAUUAAUAUAUUCAGAAUCAUACAAUGUCAUGUUGUAAGUAUGUAAGCAAUGUACUUAUGAGGUCCAAAAGAGGGCAAAAAUGUCCAAUAUACUUAGAGUAAAUCCUGCUUUCUAAGUCAGCUGUAUCCCAGACAGCCUCCCCCUAUUCUGCUAACCCCAAGUGACCUCCCGAUUUGAUCAGAAGGAGAGAUGAAGCAUGACGUACCGUUCUUCCCUCCCCACAAAAAAUGCAUACUCUCCCUCGUCCUACAGGAGCUAACCCCUUUCUUGCUUCAUUAACCUCUGAAACUACAGUACCUUCAGGGGCUGCCCCCUUAAGCGUUCAGCGCGUCCUUCCUGAGGACACGUAUGUUCCUGCUCUAGCUGAAGGAAGCGUAACCGCUCCAAGCGCUGCAGUAUUUUGGUUUGUUGGCCGAAGAAUAACCCCAAACUUUUUAAGACUGAUCUGGAACAUGGAAUCUGGGUUCAACUUGCAUACUCUUCCAUUAAAACCUUGAAACAUAAUUUGUCUUCACUGGAGAACUGCUUCUCUUCUGCAUUAUGUUUCCAAAUAAUUAAAGUUACAUAAUCAGAACUAAUGUGGCAAAUUAAAUGAAAAUACAGAGCUUGCAAUGAAAAGAAAAAAAAUGCUCACAAGGAGUUAAGAGUUUAUGAGUAAAGAAUCCCUGCUGAAAAUGAAACCUCGUUAUUAUACUAUAGUUACUAUCUUUCCCAGCUAACAUUUGCUGUGAAGAAACACGGGUAACAGAGCACAAGGAUAGAGUCCAAAAUCCUUUCUAGUUGAAAAACUAGUUAAGAACUAGUACUACAGUCAGAACCAUCUACAGUCUAAGCCAGAAUCUCAGAACAGGAAAUCCAAAACAAAUUUCAUAAUGAAAUAUCUGAUAUAAUGGGAUCAGCAUGGAAAUAAGGGGCUGUGGUAGUUUUAUAUGGCCACAAAUUCCUUGGCCAGGUGUGAUGGCUCACACCUGAUCCUAACACUCUGGGAGGCUGAGGCAGGGGAAUCCCUUGAGGCCAAAAUCCAAAAAUUAGCUGGGUGUAGUGGCACCUGCCUGUAAUCCCAGCUACUUGAGAGGCUGAGGUGGGAGGACUGCUUGAGCCCCAAAGGUGGAGGUUGUAGUGAGCCAUGACUAUACCACUACGCUCUUGCCUGGGUGACAAAGCAAGACUACAUCUCUAAAAAAAAAAAAAGACCGGGCGCGGUGGCUCACGCCUGUAAUCCCAGCACUUUGAGAGGCCGAGGCAGAUGGAUCACGAGGUCGGGAGAUCAAGACCAUCCUGGCCAACAUGGUGAAACCCCGUUUCUAUUAAAAAAUAUAAAAAAUUAGCUGGGUGUGGUGGCGGGCACCUGUAGGCCCAGCUACUCGGGAGGCUGACGCAGGAGAAUGGCGUGAAACUGGGAGGCGGAGGUUGCAGUGA
rnacentral:lncRNA from 10 species